AACCCAGAAAUCCUCCUCUGGUGAUACAAGGAGAGAAUCUUUCAAGAAUUAGACAAGAAACGCUACUUUUAUCCAAAUAAAUUCCUCUUGUAUAAAAAUAUGUAAUUUACUGAAAAUGGGGAAACUUUGGAGGAAAAGAAUAUCAGCUACUUUGGAUGGGACUAAAAGAUAAGAAAGAAAACUAAACUUCAUAAUCCUUAGGCCUGUAGGUUCUCUAAAACUCAAAGAUCUAGGAUUUAGAGAUAUAGGUUAUCUCAGUAGACACUGAAUUACUGGAACAACACCAAGAGUCCUGUGAAUCAUCUCUCUUCUUUCCAAAGGAUCCCGAUGAUGUCAUUUGGAUCAUAUAAAACCAGAACCAUCCUGUGCCAAAGACCUUCCUGCUCGCUACUUUUACACUGAGUGAUGGAUAGGGCCUAUGAACUUCCACUUGCUCCAGUGGCUUCUCUAAGAUCUGAAUGAAAAGCCAGAAGCAAACCAAUCCCGUCAACGUUGACAAGUCAACACAUGUGUUGAAAAAGAAAGAAGUUUUCGGAUUGAAACAGGCAGGACCACUGGCACCCUUCAGAUCUGCACAGCUGUGGAAAAAGCCUGCAUUUGAGAAGGGAAAGAAGAUCCAGACAUAGACCUUACUAGCCACCCUGCUGGUGAUGAAUGUCUCCAGGCUGCAGGUGAAAACGGUGUCUGAGGCAGCUCAUGGAGGAAGCAUCUGUGAAGGCCCCACGGAGACAAAACGUUUGAGUGGGACCUUAAAAUAAAAGUAGAAUUUGGACCA
rnacentral:lncRNA from 1 species